GAUGAACGCUAGCGGCAGGCUUAACACAUGCAAGUCGAGGGGUAUAGUUCUUCGGAGCUAGAGACCGGCGCACGGGUGCGUAACGCGUAUGCAAUCUACCUUUUGCAGAGGGAUAGCCCAGAGAAAUUUGGAUUAAUACCCCAUAGUAUGUGAGAAUGGCAUCAUUUUCACAUUAAAGUCACAACGGCAAAAGAUGAGCAUGCGUCCCAUUAGCUUGUUAGUAAGGUAACGGCUUACCAAGGCAACGAUGGGUAGGGGUCCUGAGAGGGAGAUCCCCCACACUGGUACUGAGACACGGACCAGACUCCUACGGGAGGCAGCAGUGAGGAAUAUUGGACAAUGGGCGCAAGCCUGAUCCAGCCAUGCCGCGUGCAGGAUGACGGUCCUAUGGAUUGUAAACUGCUUUUGUAUAGGAAGAAACACUGGUUCGUGAACCAGCUUGACGGUACUGUAAGAAUAAGGAUCGGCUAACACCGUGCCAGCCGCCGCAGUAAUAC
rnacentral:rRNA from 1 species